rnacentral:rRNA from 1 species
AGUAGCAAUACUGAUGGCGACCGGCGCACGGGUGCGUAACACGUAUACAAUCUGCCUUUAACAGGGGGAUAGCCCGGAGAAAUCCGGAUUAAUACCCCAUAACAGUGGAGUUGGCAUCAACUUCAUUUAAAAGCUCCGGCGGUUAGAGAUGAGUAUGCGUCUGAUUAGCUAGAUGGUGAGGUAACGGCUCACCAUGGCAACGAUCAGUAGGGGAUCUGAGAGGAUUAACCCCCACACGGAUACUGAGACACGGAUCCGACUCCUACGGGAGGCAGCAGUAAGGAAUAUUGGACAAUGCCCGCCAGGGUGAUCCAGCCAUGCCGCGUGCAGGAAGACGGCCCUAUGGGUUGUAAACUGCUUUUGCACCAGGGAAAACCCCCGCUCGUGAGCGGGGCUGAUAGUAUGGUGAGAAUAAGCAUCGGCUAACUUCGUGCCAGCAGCCGCGGUAAGACGAAGGAUGCAAGCGUUAUCCGGAUUCAUUGGGUUUAAAGGGAGCGUAGGUGGACUGAUAAGUCAGUGGUGAAAGCCAAUCGCUUAACGAUUGAAUUGCCAUUGAUACUGUUGGUCUUGAGUACAGUUGCUGUGGGCGGAAUAUGACAUGUAGUGGUGAAAUACAUAGAGAUGUCAUAGAACACCGAUUGCGAAGGCAGCUCACAAAACUGUAACUGACACUGAGGCUCGAAAGUGCGGGGAUCAAACAGGAUUAGAUACCCUGGUAGUCCGCACUGUAAACGAUGAUUACUCGCUGCUGGGAGGUAACUUUCAGUGGCUAAGCGAAAGCGAUA